GAACAGAAAAACCUCCGAAUGAUUUUAACCUAGACACCACAAGUCAAAGUCAAAAAUCAUCAAUUGACCCAGUAUAAACUGAUCAACGAACCA
rnacentral:rRNA from 1 species